AGAAGGACCCCUCCAGAGCUUGUCCCUGCCAUGCGCCUCCUGUGCGCUGUGGUCCUGGCUGUCCUGGGGGCAGGGCACACGAAUGCUGGCAUCACCCAGAACCCGAGGCACAAAAUCACGAGGACAGGAGAGAACUUGACCCUGCAAUGUACCCAGAACAUGGACCAUGAGUACAUGUACUGGUACCGACAAGACCCGGGACUGGGGCUGAGGCUGAUCCACUACUCUCUUGGUGUUGGUGAUACUAAAAAUGGUGAGAUCCCCGAGGGUUACAGCGUCUCCAGAUCAAAAAAGGAGCACUUCCACCUCACGCUGGGGUCGGCCUCCCCCACGCAGACAGCUGUGUACUUCUGCGCCAGCAGUUACUCCACAGUGCUGCAGGGUCACAUCAGCCCCUCACAAAAAGGGCUCACGAGGCCCCCUUAGCCGGCUCAGACCCGGGGCCUCAGAGCUGGAGUGAAAGUUGCAGGGCCCACUGUUCCUGCUAGGUGCAGCUCUGGGCCACUCUCAGCCAGCCUAGACCUGGGGAUGGGACUCAGUCACGUGUCUCUGGGCUAGCAGCAAUCACACAGAGCUGCAAUGUGUUCUGCCCUGGGUCCCCUUACCUGACACGCAUGCUCCCGCCAAAAGAAAGGGAGUUUGAAACUACAGUGUCCAGUUAAUGAAAGUAGACUUAUUUUAGUGACCAUGGAACACCUGGGGGUUCUUCUAGCAGUGA